CUGGGCUCGAACGGCUUCUUAACGGAGGUGGAAACACCACUAUCCCGCAAGGGAGUGGAGUCGAGGUGCUGCAUGGCUGUCGUCAGCUCGUGUCGUGAGAUGUUGGGUUAAGUCCCGCAACGAGCGCAACCCUCGUCCUGUGUUGCCAUGCCCGCAAGGGCGGAACUCGCAGGAGACCGCCAGCGAUAAGCUGGAGGAAGGUGGGGAUGACGUCAAGUCCUCAUGGCCUUUAUGUCCAGGGCUACACACGUGCUACAAUGGCCGGUACAAAGCGUUCCCAAGCCGCGAGGUGGAGGCAAUCGCAGAAAGCCGGUCUCAGUUCGGAUUGCAGGCUGCAACUCGCCUGCAUGAAGCUGGAAUCGCUAGUAAUGGCGGAUCAGCAUGACGCGGUGAAUACGUUCCC
rnacentral:rRNA from 1 species